rnacentral:rRNA from 1 species
UACGAAGGGGGCUAGCGUUGUUCGGAUUUACUGGGCGUAAAGCGCACGUAGGCGGAUCGUUAAGUCGGGGGUGAAAUCCUGGAGCUCAACUCCAGAACUGCCUUCGAUACUGGCGAUCUUGAGUCCGGAAGAGGUGAGUGGAACUCCUAGUGUAGAGGUGGAAUUCGUAGAUAUUCGCAAGAACACCAGUGGCGAAGGCGGCUCACUGGUCCGAUACUGACGCUGAGGCACGAAAGCGUGGGGAGCAAACAGG